GACCGCGUAGCUCAGUUGGCAGAGCAUUGGGCUAGUAUUCCAAAGGUCGUAGGUUCGAGUCCCACCGUGGCCG
rnacentral:tRNA from 1 species